rnacentral:lncRNA from 1 species
GGCAAAAUGACCUCCUUCCUUAAGGAGAUUUGUCCCUGAGCAUAUUAAAAGAAUAAAAGCCUAACUUCAUUCUAGCCUAUUUGAAGAUAUUAUGGAAAUAAAAUGAAAAUAAUUCAGAACUUGGAAUUGAGGAAGCUCUUUCUUAUUAACAAGUUGAACAGAAAAAUCAGGAAUUAAAAAUAUUUUGGCUAUCAAAACACUGAACCUCACCAUCCCCCUUUCUGACUGGUUACUGAUUAAAGUAAUGAUUGAUGCUAAGUUUUGAGCAAGCCAUGAUUAGGGAAAAAUUCUUUCAAUGACUUCCAAAAUGUUUUUGAAAUUAAAUUAGAAAAAGAGUUCUUUUAGAAAUUACUUGGAAUUAUUUCUUGGGAGGAACAAAGCACCAUUAUUUUCGUUCUUAUGGGUUCAUCCUACUUCUUCCUUUCUCAUUACUAUUCAUGCCUUUUAGGUGGCUGUCAUUUCUCUCAUUGUUUCAUUGUCUUUGGGUUUCACCUGUGAGCACAGAUAUCUGUUCUUCUUUUCAGGAAAGGGAUGGAGAAUGAUCGUAUGUGACAGUUUCAUCUCUGUCCGGUAUGAUUUGAACUGGAAAUAUUAAGGCACUAUCUUAACUAAUGUGUCAUAGGAGCUAAAUGAAUGAUGCCCUGUGUCUUAAUUCAGGCUACUCUAACAAGGUACCUGAGACUGGGUGGCUUAUAAGUGGCAGAAAUGUAUUUGUCACAGUUCUGGGGGCUGGAAGCUUGGGAUCUGGUGGCAGCAUGGUUGAGUUCUGGUGAGAGCCCUCUUCUGGGUUGCGACCUGCCAGCUUCUCUUUGUAUCUUCACAUGCUGGAGAGCAGAGAGAGAAUACAGGCUGUCUUGUGAGCCUCAUGAAGGCACUAAUCCUAUUCCUCUGAGCCCCACCCUCAUAACCUCAUCAAAUCUGAAUGACUCCCAAACACUCUACCUCCUAAUCCAUCGCAUAGGGGGUAGGGUUUCCAUAUAUGAAUUUGGGGGUCCAUAACAUGGUGAUAGGAUCCCAAGGUCUUGUGUUUAUGGCAAUGGUCCUUAGGAUAAAUUUCAUUCCUGACAUUUAUUUGAGGCAAAAAACCCAUUCCUUGAUGCUGCCUUCAUUUCUUAAUGGCACAUUAAACCUGAAUUGAUUACUAAUGAAAUGUUGCAGUUCUACUGGGAACAAGAUCACCAAGCGCCUACCAGAUAAAUUCCAGUCUUUAUCUAAAAUGAGGGUGAUAGGAAGUGUAGAUUCCUUUGACUUUUGUAAGGGACUCAUUUAAUACUUCCACACCUCAACCCAUCUAAUAAGUAAAUGGCCAAUCCAGGUUUCAAAACCUGGUAUGUCAGAUUCCACAGUCCACCUCCCUGUACAUGACAUCAGAUGCCUGUGCCAACUGCAUGUAUUGAACCAUCACUUAUUUUCAGGAAAGCCCUCUACUUCUAACCGACUGAUAUUGUUGUGUCUCUAAAUAUCUCACUGUUACAAAUUCUCUAUAUUUUCAUUAAUCAUCAUCUAUCUCUGGGUUUGUUGAUGAGUUAAUUUAAUAACAAUGUAUUCUGAUUAUUGUAUGUAAUAAGAAAUAUAAAAUUACCAACUGGCAAUUAUUUCUGAGGGCCUUAAAUGUGAGCCACAAAAUUACUCCUCCUAAGAAUGAUAAAAUAACCAUAUUUAAUUAUCCCAGGUGGCUCAAAUAGUUUGCUCAAUUAAUUUUCACCAUAAAGUUAGGAGAUGCAUAAUACGCAAGGCCCUUGAGAGUUGUGGCUCCUGCACCAAAGAGGGAAGAAAACACAAACAUUUCAGUGAGUCCUCUGUAGAAAACACUAAGCUGAUGGCUCUAGUGGAUUCAAGGUAACAAAAACUUAUGCUACCAAAUUACACGAGUAUGGGAAGUGAUUGGAAAAAUAUAAGAGGACAUAUACAAAGGGGUAAAAUGUGAGGGAUGGAGCAGAUCAUCGCCAUUGCCAUCAGCGGUCAGACCAGGAGUCUAGAAAUUCAGCAUUCACCUGGCAAUCUGAACAACUUAGCGCCUUCCUCCACGGAGCUCUCUUCACUGCGCCCUGGCGGCUAUGAGGGGGCUCUCAAACUCCCCAAAACAGGCUGACCAGCAUCGCCCACCCAGCAGGACAUGUCUCAGAGUCCCCAGUGCAAACUCGCCUUCAGCAUCCACAGGAAGCACCCAGGAGACCCUGUCAGCAGGACCCUGCGAGGCAGUGCAGCAUGCAGAAUUUCCCAGCCCAGGAUCAAACCAACACCACAGCAGUGACAACACCAGAUCCUAAAUCCACUGAGACCAUCAGGGAACUCCCAAUAGUGGAGUUCUUUAAAUAAGUAAGAAAGUGACAAUGCAAAGCUGUAGCAGCAUUUGUUGUGGAGAGGAAAUUCAGAGAAGAAACUUGAAUUUCCAGUGGAUGUGAUGGGAAAGGCUGUCUCCUGUCCUCAUGAGCUGGUCUUGAAGCUAAAGUCUCAGCUCCACAUCUGAUCUCAGCUCUGCUCUGUGAUGCUGGGGCUCCACUGCCAUCCACCACAUUUCUCCUCUGCCAGUAGGUUUAUUUCCUUUUAAAGUGCUUCCAUACAAGUCCCAAGAGAUGGGCUAGAAGGCUUGAGGAAAUUUUCUGUUUUCCUGACUGGGCUGUGACUGAAAACAGUGACCAUCAAUAGGAAAAGGACAACUAGUGGAUCUUCUAGAUGCUAUUUGUCAACUACCAGGUUGGCAGAAACUAAAAAGGAUGAUAAAAUCUUGUUUUGGUCAAUGCCUAGAAACAUAUAUAAACGUAUACACUCUCAAAUAUGAUUAAUAUAGUCAUUGUCAUCGUGGACAGUUGGCAGUGUAUGUUUGCAAUAUGUGUGUAUUUUGACCAAGAAAUUUUGCUUCAUGACACCUUCUUCAGAGAAAGACUCUCCCUUGGAUAUAAGACACCUGCAUGAUAACUGUAGCAACUUAUUUUUUAAACUUAAAAACAACUAAGAAAAUGUCAACUAGACAAUGUGGGCAAAUGAAAGAGAAAGGAAAACAGAGGAAGAAGCAGACCAGUGAAAGAGUUUCUUGUUGCACCCAUCUCAUGUGGGGCAGAUCUCUUGGCCCCUGUGUGUGUGUCUCUGGAGAAAAGAUCAGAUCUGGAAACCAGAUGUGACUUGUUAUGUGACCCAAGUCAGGACAUUCUUCUCUUCUCAGCCACCAGCUCCCUUUGGGUGAGCGUUGUUGGCCACAGGAGUGUAAGGACGGUCCCUGUCCUGAAGGUCACCUCCUCUGGGUUCUCUAGUCCUGGAUUUGCAUCUAUUUGUUUACUCAUCUUCUCUUAACUUCAUGUUGAGAAUCUUGAAUGAAAAGAUGACUGUACAUCUUAUGUAUUAAUUUUGCAAUGAAAAGCAACCAGGUUCCCCCAUCACACCAUAUGUCACCAACUUCCCAGGAGGAGGUGAGUCUUUCCAUCAGAUAUUUACAUGGGCCACUCUUUGCUGACUGAAUAUAAAUCAGGUCCACCCAUGACAGAAGCACUAACAGUUUUCCAUGAUUUCCAAGGCUUCUCUCCAUUCCAUGGAGUUCCACUUUUUGACAAGCAUUUCCUGUAAAAUAGUGGGACUAUUCCAUAGGACUAAAGGAACAAAUAUUCUGAGAUUUAUAUAAAAAAUAAGGAUUUUGUUUUGCAGAAUUAAAAAAACUCAAGAAGUUUUCUUUGGUAACUAUUUUAUAAAUAAAAUGAAAGACUGGGAAUCUGGGGGUUAAUAGAUGCAAACUAUUGCCUUUGGAAGGGUAAGCAAUGAGAUGCUGUUGUAUAGCACUAGGAACUGUAUCUAGUCACUUAUGAUGGAGGAUAAUGUGAGAAAAAGAAUGUAUGUAUGACUGGGUCACUUUGCUGUACAGUACAAAUUGACAGAGCACUGUAAACCAACUAUAAUGGAAAAAGUAAAGAUCG